GCUGGAACGCAGGGCCAAGGCAAGAAUCGCCCUCAGAAUUUCAGAUCGUCAGCGCAGGACUCCAUCCCCCGACCGUGCACUGGAAUCGCUGGUCUCCAGAGGCACGUUUUUCUGGACUGAGGACGUGAUCAUCCCUCACAAUAGGAAUGCAGAUAAUGACCUUCAUUAAUGAAGGAACAAACAUCUGUCCCCUUUCGGGAGCCAUAGUACAAGUUCUUACCGUAUAGUCUAGUCGGGUGGGAAGAUUCGCCUAUCUUCUGUUUUCUUUGUGGGUGCAAUUUGCAUACUUGUGUUUAUCACGGCUUUCAUUCACUCUGGUUUUCGAGGAUUUAUCACAUCGCAAGGCUCAAAUACCCUCUCUAGGGGAGGGACUACACGUUAUGAGAGACAUGGGCCCAGCAGGGGUGUUUGUACUUUAGAGCCCCUCUCCUAGAAACUGAGUUUCCCCGGGCCUGCCCAUCUCCCCAGGGUACUCAUUCUGAGCACCCGGCCAACAGCCAAUUUAAGGUCUGGCUCUGGGAUUUGAGCUUCUCCCUGCCUGGCACUGAAUGAACACCACCACCUCCACCUCACUGGAGACCUCAUUAGGACUUGAACUCUGGUCUUUGUUCCUUCCCAGCGGGUUCUUUUCAGAGGGAAAGGUGGGAAGAGGAGGGGGGUCAGGUAAGCCCACAGCUCCCAGAGCAGCAGGAGUCCAACAGCCUCUGAGAUCCGGAAAGUUGAGUAAACAAGCAAUUACUGGAGAGAGAGACUAAAGCAGCAACCGGAGAAGCAGCUUAGCUAAUUCGAUUCUACUCCCCGCAGGAGAAGACAGCGCCUUCCUCUAGCCCUCCUCCUACCCAGCUUCUUGGGGCUAAUUCCAGCAGCCUCUGUCUGCCUUUCAAGUGAAAUUCCACCCUUAAGCACCAGCAGGGUCCCAGGAGUAAGAGGAAGACCUUUAUCGAGACUGAAUUCUUGGCUUGGCCAACGUCCCCACUGCUCUUUGUUGUAAGGAGAAAGAAUACAGUCUGUAAAGCUCUCUCCCUUCACACCCCGGGGCCUUUGGAUCUCUUUGCCAGAGAGGAGCUAAGAAAGAAGGAGGUGACUCAGAACUCGCUUCUCAGAACCUGGAGUGGGAACCCAGCUGGGCUGCAGGAAGUGUGGGGUCGGGAGUGAAAGAACCCCCACAUCCAUUCCCCGCUUUUAGCUCCUAGCAGCCUCCUGCCUACUGCUAGGCCCCAUGAGUUCACUUCCUCUGCUUCUGCUGACAUCAGUGCAGAUCUUGUCACAGAAAGGCCUCCACAUAGAUAAGGCUGGGUUCCUGCCAUUACUACCUUCAGAGAUUUGAUCAUUUCGUAGAGUUUCAGCGGAGAGGUUAAAAAAAAUUUCCGGACAUUGAAACAUGUCGGUGAACAACAAUACAAGGCAACUUACAGUAGAUUCCACCUGGGCUUUUUCCUCUUAAAAGAAUCUCAAAAUGGCUACAAGCCUGCAUUUGGUUCCCAAAACUCACAUGGUGGAAGGGAAGAAUGGAUUCCCACUGACCUUUCCAUCCUCACUUGGCAUACCCACAUCCACACACAAAAUUUAAAUGUAAUAAAAAUGUUUAAAUAAAUAAA